rnacentral:misc_RNA from 1 species
UCAAACUUGGUCAUUUAGAGGAAGUAAAAGUCGUAACAAGGUCUCCGUAGGUGAACCUGCGGAGGGAUCAUUACUGAGUGAGGGCCUCCGGGCUCGACCUCCAACCCUAUGUUAUUCAACUUUGUUGCCUCGGGGGCGACCCGCGCCUUCAGGCGUCGGGGCCCCCGAUGGACCAUUUCAAAACACUGCAUCUUUGCGUCGGAUGAUAAAAGUUAAAUUGAUUAAAAACUUUCAACAACGGAUCUCUUGGUUCUGGCAUCGAUGAAGAACGCAGC